GACGAACGCUGGCGGCGUGCUUAACACAUGCAAGUCGAGCGGUAAGGCCCUUUCGGGGGUACACGAGCGGCGAACGGGUGAGUAACACGUGGGUGACCUGCCCUCAGCUCUGGGAUAAGCCUGGGAAACCGGGUCUAAUACCGGAUAUGACUCCAUGACGCAUGUUGUGGGGUGAAAGCCUUGUGCGGCUGAGGAUGGGCCCGCGGCCUAUCAGCUUGUUGGUGGGGNGAUGGCCUACCAAGGCGACGACGGGUAGCCGGCCUGAGAGGGCGACCGGCCACACUGGGACUGAGACACGG
rnacentral:rRNA from 1 species